rnacentral:rRNA from 1 species
UACGUAGGGGGCUAGCGUUAUCCGGAUUUAUUGGGUUUAAAGGGUGCGUAGGCGGAAUAAUAAGUCAGUUGUGAAAGUUUGCGGCUCAACCGUAAAAUUGCAGUUGAUACUGUUAUUCUUGAGUGUACAUAAGGUAGGCGGAAUUCGUGGUGUAGCGGUGAAAUGCUUAGAUAUCACGAAGAACUCCAAUUGCGAAGGCAGCUUACCGGGGUACAACUGACGCUGAGGCAUGAAAGCGUGGGUAGCAAAC